rnacentral:lncRNA from 1 species
GGCGUCUAAGGCAGACGUGGGCGCCGGAGAAGGGAUGUCCUUGUUCCUUGGAUCGAAGCCGGGAAUUCUCAUGAGCGCCUGCUGUGUGCCGGGCGUCGUGCAAGGCGGACAGUCAGUAGCGACGCCUCGAGUGGGAAACACCACUCGCUCCAGGUUCUCUCCUCAGGCUGUCAAGGCCUCCUCUCCCCGGGACCCCAGCCUGCUCCGCCUCCUUCCUCGCACCUGCAGCCACUGAGCUGAGCUCGGCGCCGCCCCCCUGCUGGCUCCUCCCUUCAGCAGCCACGCCCCUCGGGAUCCGGGACGCGGAUCUGCACGGAGUUGUCUAGUGGCCUGGCCGUCCUGCAGCGACCGCCCUGGGCCUCGUAUCCCCUAUUCCACACUUGCCAGGUUCCCCACGUUCACGUGGACUGCUCCAGAAGCUUUCUCCACUAAGGCUGGUCCCACCUGGCCCCUCUCCCAUCAGCUCCUCCCCAUCUUCCCGCAAGGGUCCGGUCGUCCCUUAUGGACCCUCCUCCUCCCACACGGCUCCUCCCUCUCCACGUGGUUCCUUCCGCUCCCAGGCAGCCCCAAUGGUCCCUGCUUAUUGUUCCUUAUAUCGGGGCCCCGGUGAAGCCGGUGUCUCUGCCGUGAAACACACCACCCCAGGCCUCUCCUGCUUUAGUUAGUGUCAGAAUCACCUUGUUCCCAUUAUCCCCAUUGUAACAAACGCUGGGCUCCAUACUCUGGACGAAUGCAGACAGCCGUCCUCACUGUUUUUUGCCUGCCUUGCCAGGAAGACAGGGAUAUAACUUCUCGUCCUCACAGCCCUGUCCCUCGAGUCCAGGUUAGGGCCUGACGGUGUCCCCGGGUCCAGGCUAGGGCCUGACACUGGAUCUUGAGCCCCUCCCAACGCCAGGCUUUCUGGAAUGUUCCCAGUUGCAUACAUUCAGCUUCCUCACCUAACCCCAUAAUGUUUAACGAAAUAGGUCCAGGAGACCUACACUAGUAGGUCACAUAAAAAUGCUUCUAAGGGGGCGCCUGGGUGGCACAGCGGUUGAGCGUCUGCCUUCGGCUCAGGGCGUGAUCCUGGUGUUCUGGGAUCGAGCCCCACAUCAGGCUCCUCCACGAGGAGCCUGCUUCUUCCUCUCCCACUCCCCCUGCUUGUGUUCCCUCUCUCACUGGCUGUCUCUCUCUG